CUCUAGUGAGGUUCUCCCAGCCCAGCACCCCCACCUACUUGGCUGCCACAGUCCCACAUCCCCAUCCUGCUACUAAUGAGUGGUGUGACCUUAGGAACACCAGCAAAACAAACAAACAAAAAACCCCACGACAAAUGGGGAGCCUCCGUGAGCAGUGCAGAGCCUCGAAUGUUCCUUGGUGUUAGUACCCCAUCGUCAUCUGCUCAUGCACCUGGUGUGUCCGGGACUCCGGGCCCCUGGCGCUUGUUCGUUGCACCUGUGGCGGCGUCUCCAGCAAGCGCGGCUCCCCUCGUCGGUCCUGGCGCUGUGCUGAAAGGAGGACCCCGGGACUCAGACCCGGAGGCCAAGGAUUUCUGAGGUCUGGGGGCUGACUGACCCCCACUGGAGGAAGGGGGUGCAGCCCUGUUGACCAGAGCCAUGUGGAGGAAGGGGCAGAGCCCUGCCCUUAGGCUGGUGUGCCGGGGUUUCCGUCCCCACCGUCGAGACUGCACUGGGACACACAUCCGGGCAGCCCCAGGGGAACCGAGGUGGGAUGUCGGCCAUCACGGCCAUCCCAGGACAGCAGGAUACCCGCGAGCUGCUGCCGGUG